rnacentral:rRNA from 1 species
GAGUUUGAUCCUGGCUCAGAGUGAACGCUGGCGGUAGGCCUAACACAUGCAAGUCGAACGGCAGCACAGCAGUAGCAAUACUGUGGGUGGCGAGUGGCGGACGGGUGAGGAAUACAUCGGAAUCUACUCUGUCGUGGGGGAUAACGUAGGGAAACUUACGCUAAUACCGCAUACGACCUACGGGUGAAAGUGGGGGACCGCAAGGCCUCACGCGAUUGAAUGAGCCGAUGUCGGAUUAGCUAGUUGGCGGGUAAAGGCCCACCAAGGCGACGAUCCGUAGCUGGUCUGAGAGGAUGAUCAGCCACACUGGAACUGAGACACGGUCCAGACUCCUACGGGAGGCAGCAGUGGGGAAUAUUGGACAAUGGGCGCAAGCCUGAUCCAGCCAUACCGCGUGGGUGAAGAAGGCC